AAUCCGUCGAAUUUUGAAAUCGUGAGGGUUCAAGUCCUUAUCCC
rnacentral:tRNA from 1 species